GCAAAGUAGCACGCACGCCGAAUCUUCUCGCGAGCACGUUGCGCCGCGAGUCGCUCGGAAUACGGAUAGUGGUAACUUCGUAAUUUCGCACACCAACCUUGUCGAUAAAUCUCAUUUCACACACACACCCCCCCGCCGUCUCUCUCUCUCUCUCUCUCUCUCUCUCUGUCUCUAAGAGUGUCUUGACAAAUUAUCACUACUUUCAAAGAGAUGGUCGUGGUGUAGAGACUAGCGAGGCGGUUGUUGGUUGAGCUCUGAAGAUGGGGAAUUGGAGAGGGCGUCAGAGCAGAAACUAUAAACGCGACGCCCAGCGAUCCCAUUACGCAGAGCUCCCUCCUCCGAUCCCUACUUCCGGGUACUGGCAAAACAGUGUGCCUUCAUGGGAAAAGAAAUUCUGCACUUCAGUUGGAUCAAUUCCAUGGCGGAAGGUUGUGGAUACCAAGAAGUUCAUGCACUACUAUAGUAAUGUGCUAAGUUGGAAUGACUCAGCUGGUGAAGAAGCAUUCUGCAAUGCAAAACAGCGCUUUUGGGCAGAUAUCAAUGGCCUUUCCUGUGACAUAUCUCUACCUGAUCGAGAUAUCUAUAUUGAUGAAAUUGAUUGGAAUCCUUACAUUGAUCCUGAACUAAUAUUGGACUUGGAUCGAGAAUAUGUAUCUCCUGAUGAUGUUGAAAUGGGUACCAGAAAGAAGACCAAGUCAUUUUCUGGUUGUGUGUCAGAAGGCUAUAAUAGAGAUUCAGAAAAUGGUGCCAAUCCUUGGGAAUGUAACUAUAUUGAGGGCAGUGGAGCUUUGAAGGAUCAAGAUGGAGGUUGGGGCAAGUGGGAUAACUUUAUCUCCGAGUCAAAAGAUUUGCAUUCUGAUAAUCAACCUCGGGAGCAAAGCCAUACUAGGGGCACUGGAACCAUGAAAGAUAAUCCUUGGGUCUGUGCCAAUCAGUCAAAGGAUUUCAAUAAUGGUAACAAUCCUUGGGAAUCUGGUGGUCAAGAUGGUGUGAAAGAUAAAGGAUGGAAUGAUUUUUCUGGUGAUUCACGGGGUCUGAAACAUUGGGGAAACAAUAUUAUUGAGUCUAGGAAUUUGUAUAGCAGCAAUAGCAAUUCUUGGGGACAUGGUUGUCAAGGCAGUGUUCUUGUGAAGAAUAAAAGAUGGGGUGAUUUUUCUGGUGAUUCAUGGGGUCUGAAAGGUUGGGGAAACAAUAUUAGUGAAUUUAGGAAUGUCUGCAAUAGUAGCAAUCCUUGGGAAUGUGACAUUCCUAAUAAUGGUGGUUCAAAAGAUAGUGGAUGGAAAGUUCAUGGGGAAAAUUGUGAUGGCUGGAACAAGUGGGAAAGCAAUCAUAUUAAUGAUCCUAAAAAUUUGGAAUCUAGGAGAACCGGUGGUUGGGGAGCCUGGAAUGGUGGUUGUAGGAAGAGAGAAGGUUCUCAUCAGUAUAUGCAAAGGUACAAAAGCUCCAGGUUUCAAGGUGAUGACCAGCAAGCAGGUAAUGGCUGGAGGAAGGCAAGAGCUAACAAGAGGGUAACUUUUUCUUUCGAGUAGUCAUUGCUCCAUUUAAGAAUCUUUCCACGUUGAAAUGUGGAUUGUUUUUUAUAAUAGCUUCAUUAUGGAUCUGGCGAAGUCCAUGGAGUUUGGAGAAGCCAACUUUUCAGAUACCAUUACCAACACUGAAGCAAGAGCUUUUGGUGUGCAGUUUACUAUAAUACAGUUAAUACCAGAUUGGAUGGCAUGUAAGACAACCUCGAUACAGUUGUCUGGGACUUGGCUAACUUCACAGAACAAUUUUAUACAUAUUUUGGAACUUCUAUUGACAAUCAGAUGAGACUCAUAUAUAGAUUCUGCAAUUUGUAUUCCAUUUAUGCAUCUUGUCUUUUGGCUGUUCGCAUCAAUUUGGCAUUGUGGUCAAACCAGCAACGGAGCACAUGCUUUGAAUGGAUAUUGGCACCCUAGUCUUUUGCAUGUUUAAAUGCUAAACAGAAUAUAGUCUUCCAACCAGUUUCCUGUUAUUCAGAUCUUGGCUUUUGUGAAUGGAGAAGUCCAAAUUUAUGGACCAAAGGUAAAAUAUUUCAUGUUCAUUUCUAGAAGAAUAACAGCAAGAACGGUGGUCAUGUUGAGCAGACAUUCAUAAUUCUAAAGAAGGAAGUAUAUGAGAGAACCGCAUGUGAUUUCUCCUGCUUUUCUUUUAUUUGUAGAUGUUUGGGUGAUGCUAAUGAUCAGUGAAUGAUUGCUUUAUCGAAUAGGCCUUUCUGUAAUAUAGAUGGAUACUUUAUUUAAUGGAAAGUUGUGAAGAUAAUAUGUGAAUGAUCGGCUUUAUGCUUAUGGCCUGAUGAUUCUGUUUCCCGCAGCGAUUAUGUAGUAGUAUUAUGAGAGCUUUCGGCCCAUAUUUCUUAAAGCAU